rnacentral:lncRNA from 12 species
AUGAUUAUCAAAAGCUGGUUGUGUUUCAUUCUAAAUCACACUCAUUUCCAAGACACUUUUGGUCAAGCUAGAGGAGGAUCAAGAGAGGGUAUUUGGAGCCCACUCUUGGUCCUCAAACAUACAGGAAAUUUUUUCUUAUUGUCUGAGUUUGGUCUAUGGCAACUUGACCUAUUUUCCUAUUUUCUCCAACGAGAAAGUACAGGGCCACACGGUGAAGGCGCGUGUCACAGCCGUAGACACCACCAGGGGGGGCCCGAGGACAGCACCUGUUUGCAUAGUAGGCUGAAGGGCCCUGCCAAAGGAGUGGAAAAGAUCACCCCAAAGUGAGAGAACUCUAAGUUGGAUCCACCUCAGCCGUGGUGAUGUCACCUCUUAGGGUAAUGGCCUUGUGCAAAUCGUCUUCAAUCACCAGGAAUGGACAAGGCCGUUGCCAUCAUCAGGUAAACCUCUUUACUUUGUGACCGAAUCUACUGAGAUCUGUAGAGAGUAAAGGACUUGUCCAAAGCUCUGACUGUGGGCUGUGGUAGGACAGGGACUAGAAUGGAGGUCUCCAGAUUGUCCCUUCACAGCUUCUUCUGCUCGACCAUGCUAUCUCCUCGUAUUGAAAGUACCGCUAGGGAAGUUCAUGCCUUGCCUUUGCCCUGGCACCAUUGUCCUUUUCAACACCGGUGAAUAGAAAAUCAUCUCUGCCCCUGAACCUCCAGGUUUUAAUGAACAGAUAUUGAGAGCAUUCCCUCUGUACCCCUUCCUUAGAGAUUCUUGUGGAAGAGAACAGGAUUCACUUCGAGGACUUUGUGUUCUAUUUAGGGAAACCGCAUUCCUACUGGAGUGUGUCCUAAGUCUUUCCUCACUUUUUAUCUCUACUUUUCCAGUGUGCGCCAGCUGCAGGAUCUUUCUAAUUUCUAUAGUAAGGACUUUGUUGGCCCCUUGUCAAAACUAACAAAAUCUCUCAUGCCAAAAAAUACAUUCGAAACUAAUAUUUUAAAAUAUAUUAAGAUGUCUGUGUUACAAUGCAUGUUAAAAACCCAUUUUCAACUGUUCCAGGUCCAAAGUCUUCAGGUAAAAACCUAUGUUCCUGCUUUGUUCGAGAGCCUUUGCUGUCUUCGUAAACAACCGAGGUUAAGCCUAUAUUAUGGAUCUGGGGGAAGCCCACUGCACAACAUAAAUUAGAAUUAGAAUCAUAACGGAAACCUCUUAGAGAACCUAUCGAUUUUAAUAUGUCUGGUCCAUAGAGGCGACUUCAGUGAGUGCUUCCUCCUCCUCUGACAGCUGCUCUGCUAUGGCCAGAGCUUGGACUAAUGAGGUUACAGCUGUCAGGGUUAAUCAACAGCUCCAAAUAUGAACAAGGAAUUGGGUAGCUGGUUCCAGUUAAUUUGUGCAAAUGUACAGAUUGGGUGGGCAAUAUUUACACUAGUGACUCAAAACAAACUUUCAGGAAUUGAGCCAAGUAUGAUCUCACUAGUUCUCAGUGCUACCCUGGGGAGAUAAGACACAAAUUACAGAAACAGGAGAUGGAAUACAACAGAGUUCAUAGCUCAAACUACCCAUGAAAAGCCCAUUUAUAUCUAGCAUGCUUUCCUCUGAAGUGAGUAUCUGAUUCAAUUUCCAAUACUUGAGUCUGGUCAUCCCUGAAAAAGUUCUCAAAACAUCCUGAUGAUUCAGCUGGGGAUUUGUGCGUCUUUUACCCUUGCCACGGGACUUUAUGUAAGAGCACUUUGAGAGCAUCCAAAGUGAGCACCACAAUUGCUGCACAUCCAUUUUGUUAUGAAAACAUCAUUCUAUUAAUAUAAAUACAGACUGCAUCUGCCAGGGCUAACUAGAACAGGUGCAAAGUCUUUAGAUGCUUGCUUGUACUGAGAAAUGAAGAGAGUGGACAAACAGUUUUCUGUGGUGGCGCUGCUGGUGUCAAUGUAACAUUCAUCUCUGUUGCAUUCCUUGAUGUUCAUGGAAGGUAGCCCGGGGAAACUCAAUACCACUGGCUUGAAGGGGAGAGAGGGAGGAAGGAGGAAGAGAAAGACAGCGACGACAUGGUCUCUAGGAUUCUGUUUACGCAAAUACUCUCCUCUUGAUCUGGGGCUCGCAUGGGUUAUGUAUAGAGUGAAUUCUGUUGGAUCUCCUGCUGCAAGUUAUGGGAUGCUGCCAACAUAAAUAUUCUGCUGGUUCUGAAUUUAGCAAACAGCUUACCGGCUCCUGAUGUUUCUGUUCUUCCUCCCCCCCCCCCUUUUUUUUUAAUCUUAUCCAUGUGACUGCCACUGUGUUGCCCAUGGUUUCAAAUUCACUUUGUAGUUUUCCAGGCAAGAGAAAGUCAUUGCCUAAAAGACACAUCUGGGUUCCUGUCCCUAUGAUCAGAGUUAUAUCAAGAUUUUACUUGGUUUCAUGGAAUGAAAGCAUGAGACACCUACCAUUUAUAGCACCAUCUUAAUAAAAUAAGACAGCAUGAUCUGCA